GUGUCAGCAGCCGCGGUAAUACAGAGGUCCCAAGCGUUGUUCGGAUUCACUGGGCGUAAAGGGUGCGUAGGUGGUGAGGUAAGUCCGAUGUGAAAGCUCCGAGCUCAACUCGGAAAUUGCAUUAGAAACUACCUUGCUAGAGGGUUGGAGGGGGGACUGGAAUUCUCGGUGUAGCAGUGAAAUGCGUAGAUAUCGAGAGGAACACCAGUGGCGAAGGCGAGUCCCUGGACAACUCCUGACACUGAGGCACGAAAGCUAGGGGAGCAAACAGGAUUAGAAACCCCCGUAGUCC
rnacentral:rRNA from 1 species